rnacentral:lncRNA from 10 species
UGAAGGGUUUUUGGAAAUGUGUUUAGAGAAGACGCUAUGUGAAAAUGUUCCUUAUGUCCUACAGAAAUAGGCACAGGCCGGGCGUGGUGGCUGACCUGCAAUCCCAGUACUUUGGGAGGCCAAGGAUACUUCCACCUCAGCCUUCAAAAUAGCUGGAAAUACAGGUGAAUGGAUAAAAAUAUGUUUAUAUAGAGAGUGGAAUAUUAUUCAGUCAUGGAAAAGAAGGAAAUGCUGACAUUUGCAACAACAUGGAAGAACGGAAGGACGUCAUGCUAAGUGAAGGAAGUGAGACCCAGAAAGACAAAUACCACAUGAUUUCACGCAUAUGCAAAAUCUACAAAAGUUGAACUCAUAAAAGCAGAGAGUAGAGCGGUGGCUGGUUAGGAAAAUGGGGAGAUGCUGAUGGAAGGGUCCAAACUUUCAGUUAUAAGGUGAGGAAGGUCUG